rnacentral:rRNA from 1 species
UACGAAGGGUGCAAGCGUUAUCCGGAUUUACUGGGCGUAAAGGGCGUGCAGGCGGUCUGUUAAGUGCAGGGUGAAAGCUCCCGGCUCAACUGGGAGAGGUCCUUGCAUACUGGCGGACUUGAGGGGGGUAGAGGAAAGUGGAAUUCCCGGUGUAGUGGUGAUAUGCGUGGAUAUCGGGAGGAACACCUGUGGCGAAGGCGGCUUUCUGGGCCCUACCUGACGCUGAGACGCGAAAGCGUGGGGAGCGAACCGG